GGUUUGGUUAUGUUGCCCAGGCUGGUCUCAAACUCCUGAGCUCAAGCGAUCUACCUGCCUCAGUCUCCCAAGGUGCUGGGAUUACAGGUGUGAGCCAUUGUGCUCAGCCUGGUCAUCAUCAUUUCUAUCACCAGAUACCGAAACUGGCAACACCCAGAGAUAUUUCCCUCCUAGUCAUAAAGGAAGCCAGUAGCAGAGCCAGAAAUAAUAUUCAAAUUCUGGAUCCACUAGACCAUAUUGCCUGUCUGACAAAGUAUAUGCUUACUUCCUGCUUCAGUUCUAUAAGGUACCCACAAUGCCGGGUUCUCUGCCCACUGGGAGCAAACAAGGGAACGUGCAGACACUGGACAGCAUACGAUGGAUGCCUGCAACUCCCAUACCUGCCCCUGACUGCCUCCAGAAAUAUGCUGUCUCUACUGAAACAGCUUUUCCAACCCUGAGCACGUUUAGUGAACACGGAAAAGAGUGUAAAGGGGUCAAAUGCAGACUUUACAAAAAGAAACCCAAGAUGGAGAUUCCUGUUUGGGAUAUACUGCAGGUGGGGUUCAUAACAACAUAGUCCUUCACUUGCCAAGUAAUCCGAAAGCAACUAAUUAGAGAACCUGUAAGGGAUGCCAAUCCCAGUUUUCAAAAUGGCAUUUCAAGGAAAUUAAAUCUUAUCAUGUAAAUAGGUCA
rnacentral:lncRNA from 1 species